GACGAACGCUGGCGGCGUGCCUAAUACAUGCAAGUCGAACGAGAGCGACCGGUGCUUGCACUGGUCAAUCUAGUGGCGAACGGGUGAGUAACACGUGGGUAACCUGCCCAUCAGAGGGGGAUAACAUCCGGAAACGGAUGCUAAAACCGCAUAGGUCUUCGAACCGCAUGGUUUGAAGAGGAAAAGAGGCGCAAGCUUCUGCUGAUGGAUGGACCCGCGGUGCAAUAGCUAGUUGGUGAGGUAACGGCUCACCAAGGCCGUGAUGCAUAGCCGACCUGAGAGGGUGAUCGGCCACAUUGGGACUGAGACACGGCCCAAACUCCUACGGGAGGCAGCAGUAGGGAAUCUUCCGCAAUGGACGCAAGUCUGACGGAGCAACGCCGCGUGAGUGAAGAAGGUUUUCGGAUCGUAAAACUCUGUUGUUAGAGAAGAACAAGUGCUAGAGUAACUGUUAGCGCCUUGACGGUAUCUAACCAGAAAGCCACGGCUAACUACGUG
rnacentral:rRNA from 1 species